UGGGGGAUAUUGCACAAUGGGCGAAAGCCUGAUGCAGCGACGCCGCGUGGGGGAUGAAGGCCUUCGGGUUGUACACUUCUUUUGCUCUGAACAAGGCAUGCCUUUGGGGUGCGGUGAGUGUAGGGGUUGAUUAGCGCCGGCUAACUACGUGCCAGCAGCCGCGGUAAUACGUAGGGCGCGAGCGUUGUCCGGAAUUAUUUGGCGUAAAGGGCUUGUAGGUGGCUGGUUGCGUCUGUCGUGAAAGCUCAUGGCUUAACUGUGGGUUUGCGGUGGGUACGGGCUGGCUUGAGUGCAGUAGGGGAGGCUGGAAUUCCUGGUGUCGCGGUGGAAUGCGCAGAUAUCAGGAGGAAUUCCGGUGGCGAAGGCGGGUCUCUUGGCUGUUACUGACGCAGAGGCGCGAAAGCGUGGGGAGCGAACAGG
rnacentral:rRNA from 1 species